CUGCGCAUGUCUGAAACUUCUCCCAUUUUGUUCUCUGUCUGAACUACUCAGUGAAUCAAGUUUGUAUCGAUUUUUUACUUGUAAGACAUUGAAUGUAUGGCUUCUAAGCCUUUAAACUCCCAUGCCCUUGCCUGGGAUAGGCUUUGAUAAGAAACCAUGUAGUUAGUUGAGGUUUAAAGGUGAAACAAACCAGAGCUCUGAUGCUUCCGGCCUAGCUCUAACCCCUACCCGGAGAUAUAUCGGAGCUGAACCCGGAGAUAUACGUUCGUCUUGAUCAAACAUGCUUUCAAGUUUAACCUAGUGAAAUAUAGAACUGAUCCAUCAUGGCGUGCUGUCUUUCUGAGGAGCAGAAGGAACAAAAAAGAAUCAAUGCUGAAAUUGAAAGACAAUUACGUAAAGAUAAAAGAGAUGCCCGAAGGGAGUUGAAACUUCUAUUAUUAGGAACGGGAGAGUCUGGGAAAUCCACAUUUAUCAAACAGAUGAGGAUUAUUCAUGGAGCUGGUUAUUCAGAUGAAGACAAGAAGUCCUAUAUUAAACUCGUGUUUCAAAAUAUCUUCAUGGCCAUGCAGUCAAUGAUCAGAGCUAUGGAGCUUCUUAAGAUACAGUAUCAGAACCCAAACUGUGCGGAGAAAGCGGACCUGGUUCGAAGUAUAGAUUACGAGACGGUGACGGCGUUUGAGUCUCCGUAUGUCGAGGCAAUUAAAGAACUCUGGGCGGAUAAUGGCAUUCAGGACUGUUACGGACGAAGAAGAGAAUAUCAACUCACAGAUUCAGCCAAGUAUUAUCUGACGGAUAUAGACAGAGUAGCAGAACCUGGUUAUCUUCCAACUCAGCAGGAUAUCCUCAGAGUUAGGGUUCCUACAACAGGAAUCAUUGAGUACCCAUUCGACCUAGAGGAGAUCAGAUUCAGGAUGGUUGAUGUUGGGGGGCAGAGGUCGGAGCGGCGUAAAUGGAUUCACUGCUUCGAGAAUGUAACGUCCAUAAUCUUCCUUGUAGCGCUCUCGGAGUACGAUCAAAUUCUUUUCGAGUCAGACAACGAGAAUCGUAUGGAGGAAUCCAAAGCAUUGUUUAAAACAAUCAUCACCUACCCUUGGUUUCAGCAUAGCUCCGUUAUUCUAUUCUUGAACAAGAAAGAUUUAUUAGAGGAGAAGAUUAUGUAUUCUCAUCUUGUAGACUACUUUCCGGAAUAUGAUGGUCCGCAGCGUGACGCCAUACAUGCUCGAGAGCAUAUCCUUCGUAUGUUCGUAGACCUAAACCCAGACACAGAGAAGAUAAUAUACUCACAUUUUACUUGUGCAACAGAUACUGAGAAUAUAAGAUUUGUGUUCGCAGCAGUCAAGGAUACAAUUCUCCAGUUAAACUUAAAGGAAUAUAAUCUGGUCUAAAUCGGAUUAUUUAUUCUCAGAUUCCCAUCCUCCAUUUACCUCCAAAUCAUGUCCCUGAUAAGAACCCGCCAGAUAGAUCCUCCUGUAUCCCGACCGUAUCUCUUUCCCGAGAUCGUCUGACGACCUCCCUACCGUGGGACGGGAACCCCCCUCAAGAGCAAUCAAUUUGCUGCUUUUUAAAGACACCGAUGAUAAAACAUUUAUCAUUCAUAUAUAUGUUUACUAGUGCCAAGUUCAGUAAGAAGAGAAGUAGCUCAGCACAGUGCCCGACGAAUAGGCUAAUUGACGAUCUCUAGCUUGUCUGGUCUGAUCAGAUAAUUCAAGGAUCUAAGCAUGCUCUUGGACGUGUCAAAGACAUGUACAAUAGAUUGAUCAAAUCAAGACUUAAGUCGACGAUUCGUCUUUGACGAUUUGAAACCAGUCUACUUGAUCGAUAACUAUUGGCCGAUCAUUUUAGUGACGAAGUCACCUUCAAAUUUGGACUUUCGGCACUUCCACUAAGGCUCUUGCUCUGUCGUAUUUUCAAUUUUUAACUGGAAAUAAUUUAUGUAAUUUAUGAUCUUAUACAUAUUGUGGCAAAAACGUUUUUCCGCUAUAUUAUUAUUUAUUUGCGCUGUGUACGGAUUCUUAACAUUUCUAACGUUUUCAAAAAAGGUUUAAGCCGACAAGGCGGCCAUCUUGGCGCUUUGCCGCGGUAUGUACGCGUUCAUGGUUUUAGUGUUUAGAUAUUUUUGAAAAUUGAAUUGACAAUGUUUUGAAUGGAAUAUUGUACGAAUGAUUAUAAUAUUAUUAUUAAUAUAGUGACUGUCAAAUCUAAGAUUUAAUAAUAAAUUUGAAAAAAAAACUU
rnacentral:misc_RNA from 1 species